AGGACGAACGCUGGCGGCGUGCUUAACACAUGCAAGUCGAGCGGAAAGGCCCUUCGGGGUACUCGAGCGGCGAACGGGUGAGUAACACGUGAGCAAUCUGCCCCUAGCUCUGGGAUAGCUCCGGGAAAACCGGGAUUAAUACCAGAUACAACCACUUUAGACAUCUUUUGUGGUGGAAAGGAUUCCGGCUAGGGAUGAGCUCGCGGCCUAUCAGCUUGUUGGUUGGGGUAACGGCCCACCAAGGCGACGACGGGUA
rnacentral:rRNA from 1 species